rnacentral:lncRNA from 1 species
UGAAAUUAUAAAUUUCCUUUUGCGGCAAAUGAUAUUUUCAUUCUUCUUGCAUCCGAGUAAUCUCUGUACGGAGAAAUUCUGAAAUUCUUUAAGCCACAGAAUACGUCACUGAGAUGUCUAGGAAUAUUUGUAAAAUUCUGGACAAUUGGGUCCUUGGAAUUGAACCCUUGACGAAAAGAGAACUUUCCUAGCUAAGACAAAUGUGCCAGAGAAGCUGAGAAAAUUACCAUCCGGCAAUCUGUGGUGGUUGUAGAUACCUUUUAGAGCAUCCGCGUUAACAGGAAUUAUGAUCAGAUUGCAUGAGGAACAUGUUUGCAACUGAUGGUCAUGGUGGGGGAUCCAUUGCACAAUCACAACCUUCUUGAUUCCUCGUGAAAGUCACGUGAAUCAGCAGCACACGCACGGCUUGGUUAAGUAUAUACGCAUUCUGUGAAUAGCAUUUUGUCUCCUGAGGCGCUAAGAGCUGCUCAGUAAGCAUAAUCUCUGUCGGAACAAUAUAUUCCAAAAAUACAUUUGUGUUGAUCUUUUGACGUCGUGUUGGCCUGCUUGAGACCAGUCUUCGAAGCUGUCAAAUGUAGCAUUAUUUGCACCGAUCCCAACAACUGGUUCCGAUCCCGGAACUCCACAGGAAAUUUGCGAAUGUGCGCCACAGAAUUGCACGUGCUGUGAGAGCAUCGAGAAAGUCAGGUGUCCCACAAGAGAUACCAAUUGUCAAGCUGGACUUGGCAGAUCA